UAGGGAAUCUUCCACAAUGGACGCAAGUCUGAUGGAGCAACGCCGCGUGAGUGAAGAAGGUCUUCGGAUCGUAAAGCUCUGUUGUUGGUGAAGAAGGAUAGAGGCAGUAACUGGUCUUUAUUUGACGGUAAUCAACCAGAAAGUCACGGCUAACUACGUGCCAGCAGCCGCGGUAAUACGUAGGUGGCAAGCGUUGUCCGGAUUUAUUGGGCGUAAAGCGAGCGCAGGCGGAAUGAUAAGUCUGAUGUGAAAGCCCACGGCUCAACCGUGGAACUGCAUCGGAAACUGUCAUUCUUGAGUGCAGAAGAGGAGAGUGGAACUCCAUGUGUAGCGGUGGAAUGCGUAGAUAUAUGGAAGAACACCAGUGGCGAAGGCGGCUCUCUGGUCUGCAACUGACGCUGAGGCUCGAAAGCAUGGGUAGCGAACAGGAUUAGAUACCCUGGUAGUCCAUGCCGU
rnacentral:rRNA from 1 species